rnacentral:rRNA from 1 species
CCUACGGGCGGCAGCAGUGAGGAAUAUUGGUCAAUGGGCGCGAGCCUGAACCAGCCAAGUCGCGUGAGGGAUGACGGUUCUAUGAGUCGUAAACCUCUUUUAUAAGGGAAUAAAGUGAGGGACGCGUCCUAUUUUGUAUGUACCUUAUGAAUAAGGAUCGGCUAACUCCGUGCCAGCAGCCGCGGUAAUACGGAGGAUCCGAGCGUUAUCCGGAUUUAUUGGGUUUAAAGGGUGCGUAGGCUGUGAGGUAAGUCAGCGGGGAAAUGCCCCGGCUCAACGGGGUGAAGUGCCAUUGAUACUGCUUGGCUGGAAUGCAGUUGCGGUAGGCGGAAUGUGUGGUGUAGCGGUGAAAUGCAUAGAGAUCACACAGAACACCGAUUGCGAAGGCAGCUUACGAAUCCGCGAUUGACGCUGAUGCACGAAAGCGUGGGUAGCAAACAGGAUUAGAUACCCCAGUAGUC